UACGUAGGGGGCGAGCGUUGUCCGGAAUCAUUGGGCGUAAAGCGCGUGUAGGCGGCCCGGUAAGUCCGCUGUGAAAGUCCAGGGCUCAACCCUGGGAUGCCGGUGGAUACUGUCGGACUAGAGUACGGAAGAGGCGAGUGGAAUUCCUGGUGUAGCGGUGAAAUGCGCAGAUAUCAGGAGGAACACCAAUUGCGAAGGCAGCUCGCUGGGACGUUACUGACGCUGAGACGCGAAAGCGUGGGGAGCAAACAGG
rnacentral:rRNA from 1 species